rnacentral:lncRNA from 1 species
CCUUACUAGGUGGUAUUUGCAUCUCUUCCCUAUGAGUUGGUAACAUUAAAAAAACAACUGUCGAAGUCAGACGAGUGUUGGUCGAGUCUACUGUCAACUACUGUGUUUGCGAUUGAGUGUUUUAGACAAGAAAUAUGCCCAGAUGCCCAGGAUAUUGAUUACAGGGUACACCAAAUUUGGUCAACUUUCAUCAUGGUAACUAAACCUACCAUCGACUUAUCUGGGUUUAAGGGUUCGUACAAACGGAGCGCUAGCGUUAUUUUAACUUCAGUUCUAAACAAUGACUUUUUUUUCAGAGAUGCUAUAGUUCAGCUAUAGAGAGGACACAGAGAGUAAUUACAAAAAAAAAAACGAAUUACUAA